AUGAGCAGCCAGCUGACCCUGCCAGCCGACCAGUGCCCGGAGGGCAAGUCUCUGAAAUGCCACGUGAGCCACUACUCCAGUGCCAGCAAGGCUGUGGACGUGCCUUGCAUAGGACAUAAAUGCCCUGACACUGACUGUAACUGCUCUUGUGAGUGUCCAUCGUGUGGCCAGCCCCACCUGUCACUGCACCAGCCAGCCCUCGAGGACCUGCUCCUGGGCUCCAAUGCCAGCCUCACAUGCACACUGAGUGGCCUGAAGGACCCCAAGGGUGCCACCUUCACCUGGAAGCCCACAGGUGGGAAGGAUGCUGUCCAGGGGACGCCCCAGCGUGACCCCUGUGGCUGCUACAGUGUGUCGAGUGUCCUGCCGGGCUGCGCUGAGCCAUGGAAGAAUGGGGAGAGCUUCUCCUGCACAGCCACGCACCCUGAGUCCAAGAGCCCGCAAACUACCACCAUCACCAAAGCCUCAGGGAACACCUUCCGGCCCCAGGUCCACCUGCUACCGCCGCCGUCGGAGGAGCUGGCCCUCAACGAGCUGGUGACACUGACGUGCCUGGCACGGGGCUUCAGCCCAGAGAACGUGCUGGUGAGGUGGCUGCAUGGGACCCAGGAGCUGCCCGGGAACAAGUAUCUGACCUGGAGGCCCAUGCCGGAGCCUGGCCAGGGCGUCGCCACCUUUGCCGUGACCAGCGUGCUGCGCGUGGCAGCCGAGGACUGGAAGCAGGGAGAUAAGUUCUCCUGCAUGGUGGGCCACGAAGCCCUGCCCAUGGCCCUCACCCAGAAGACCAUCGACCGCCUGGCGGGUAAACCCACCCACGUGAACGUGUCCGUGGUCAUGUCGGAGGUGGAAGGCAUCUGCUACUAA